GGGUUUUUAGUAUAAUUUUAUUAUAAUUGAUUGCAGAUCAUUUGAUUUAUAGCCUU
rnacentral:tRNA from 1 species